rnacentral:rRNA from 1 species
UACAGAGGUCUCAAGCGUUGUUCGGAUUCAUUGGGCGUAAAGGGUGCGUAGGCGGCGCGGUAAGUCGGGUGUGAAAUCUUGGAGCUUAACUCCGAAACUGCAUUCGAUACUGCCGUGCUUGAGGACUGGAAAGGAGACUGGAAUUUACGGUGUAGCGGUGAAAUGCGUAGAUAUCGUAAGGAAGACCAGUGGCGAAGGCGGGUCUCUGGACAGUUCCUGACGCUGAGGCACGAAGGUCAGGGGGAGCAAAACGGGG